UCGCGUCGGUAACUUUGCGCCGAAACAUUUUCCCAUUUAGCGACUAGCGCUACAUGAAAGGUGGCGAAUUAACGAAUUUCCAACUGAAAAAUGGCGGUGUUUAUAUACGUGCACUCGUAAAUAAUACAAUAUAGAACAGUAUAAAUGGUAUGUUUCCCCAAGAGAAACAACAAAACGAUCAGCAACGGCUGCUGGAAAGGAACGAUUGAUUGUUAUCCGAUAAUAGAAACAAAACAGGCCAGCGAACCGGCUAAUACGCCACUUCAAUUCCCAACGAUGACAGAAAGUUUACGUUAGAAUGUUUGUUUAAUGGAAUGCAAUAAUAUUACGCGGGUAAUUAGCCAGUGCAUUUUCAAGUGUCAUCUUUUCGAAUGUAAAAAGUUUCGUGAUUGGUUCUCUUCAUGCUCGAAGACCGUCGCACACACAGAAUUCGAUACUUUUGAUAAUCGCAAUGAUUUAAUAACAUUCGAAGACAUAAGUGGAAUCCCAUUAAACGAAAAGUCCGCCGGUACAUGAAGAGUAUCUCGGCAAUGCGUACAUUUUCCUGAAAUAUUUUCUUUUCAUUCAUUUCAUAGCAUCAAUGGCAAAGUAAAGAAGAUAAAAGAGAAGUAGCACGGGAACAGAUGAUUGAAAACGGGAGAGGAGAAGGACGAAGAUAGAAUGAAGUUCACUCUGACAACUUGCUUCAAGCGUUUCUCAGGCUAAAUCCACGCCACGAGGAAGCAAGAGUUUCAUCUGAACGCGUCCUACCGCGACAUCAAAGAUGGCGUGCGGAGUACACAUUCUGUAAUGAGUUGAAUAUCGCGGGUA